GCAAGUCGAACGGGAAAUCUUUGGAGCUUGCUUUGAAGAUUUCUAGUGGCGAACGGGUGAGUAACACGUGAGCAACCUGCCCAGAAGAGGGGGAUAGCCCGGGGAAACUCGGAUUAAUACCGCGUACGGUCCCGCAGGACAUCCUGCGACGACUAAAGGUGGCCUUUGUGCUGCCGCUUCUGGAUGGGCUCGCGGGCUAUCAGCUUGUUGGUGAGGUAAAAGCUCACCAAGGCGACGACGGGUAACUGAUCUGAGAGGAUGAUC
rnacentral:rRNA from 1 species